rnacentral:sRNA from 1 species
AAAGGCUGCUGGAGUGAGGGGUCGCCCGUGCACCCCGUCCCAGUCGUCCUGUCCUGGCCGCUCGCUCUGCUUCGCUGCGCCGCCACUAUGCUCUCCGUCCGUGUCCCGCUCGCGCCCAUCACGGACCCGAAGCAGCUGCAGCUCUCGCCGCUGAAGGGGCUCAGCUUGGUCGACAAGGAGAACACGCCGCCGGCCCUGAGCGGGACCCGCGUCCUGGCCAGCAAGACCGCGAGGAGGAUCUUCCAGGAGCCCGCGGAGCCGAAAACUAAAGCAGCUGCCCCCGACGUGGAGGAUGAGCCGCUGCUGAGAGAAAACCCCCGCCGCUUUGUCAUCUUCCCCAUCGAGUACCAUGAUAUCUGGCAGAUGUAUAAGAAGGCAGAGGCUUCCUUCUGGACCGCCGAGGAGGUGGACCUCUCCAAGGACAUUCAGCACUGGGAAUCCCUGAAGCCCGAGGAGAGAUAUUUUAUAUCCCAUGUUCUGGCUUUCUUUGCAGCAAGCGAUGGCAUAGUAAAUGAAAACUUGGUGAGUUUCCAAAACAUCUUUCAUUCAUUUGACGUUGAUGAUCUGAGGUCGAACUAGUUCGCUCUCCUUGUCUUGUACGUUUUUCCAUGCUGAGUGCAUCUGUGUGUGUAAGCUGGGUUUUAUAUUAGAUGGCAUUUCCUGUUUUGUAACACUUUGCAGUUCUUUCUUAUGGUAUUUUCCUGACUCUAGAGAAGCUGAGACAAUAUUAAGUGGUGGCAAUGUGAUGAUUCCUUGUGGCCACCACAUCCGCUCUCUUUUUUU